rnacentral:rRNA from 1 species
UACGGGGGGGGCAAGCGUUGUUCGGAAUUACUGGGCGUAAAGGGCUCGUAGGUGGCCAACUAAGUCAUACGUGAAAUCCCUCGGCUUAACCGGGGAACUGCGUCUGAUACUGGAUGGCUUGAGGUUGGGAGAGGGAUGCGGAAUUCCUGGUGUAGCGGUGAAAUGCGCAGAUAUCAGGAGGAACACCGGUGGCGAAGGCGGAUCUCUGGGCCUUACCUGACGCUGAGGCGCGAAAGCUAGGGGAGCGAACAGG